UACGUAGGGGGCAAGCGUUGUCCGGAUUUAUUGGGCGUAAAGAGCUCGUAGGUGGUUUGGUAAGUCGGAUGUGAAAUCUCCAGGCUCAACCUGGAGGGGUCAUUCGAUACUGCCAUGACUAGAGGUCGGUAGGGGAGUGUGGAAUUCCUGGUGGAGCGGUGAAAUGCGCAGAUAUCAGGAGGAACACCGAUGGCGAAGGCAGCCCCCUGGGCUAACACUGACGCUCAGGCACGAAAGCGUGGGGAGCAAACAGG
rnacentral:rRNA from 1 species